AUUGAACGCUGGCGGCAUGCUUUACACAUGCAAGUCGAACGGCAGCGCGGGCUUCGGCCUGGCGGCGAGUGGCGAACGGGUGAGUAAUACAUCGGAACGUGCCCAGUAGUGGGGGAUAGCUCGGCUAAAGCCGGAUUAAUACCGCAUACGACCUGAUGGUGAAAGCGGGGGAUCUUCGGACCUCGCGCGAUUGGAGCGGCCGAUGGCAGAUUAGCUAGUUGGUGGGGUAAAGGCCCACCAAGGCGACGAUCUGUAGCUGGUCUGAGAGGACGACCAGCCACACUGGGACUGAGACACGGCCCAGACUCCUACGGGAGGCAGCAGUGGGGAAUUUUGGACAAUGGGCGAAAGCCUGAUCCAGCAAUGCCGCGUGUGUGAUGAAGGCCUUCGGGUUGUAAAGCACUUUUGGCGGGAACGAAAAGGACUGUGCCAAUACCACGGUUCGAUGACGGUACCCGCAGAAUAAGCACCGGCUAACUACGUG
rnacentral:rRNA from 1 species